CUUCGGCUGUGUUUUCUUUGGAACAGCAAAAAUUGAACAUGCACUUCUAUACAAUAAUAGCCCAGAACCUAUGAGCUGGGUGGCAGUAAUGCAAAACGAUUGUGUUGGAGAAGAGCUGGGUGCAAAUAUUCGACAAAGAACAGAUUUUGCUUUAAAUAAUGUCCCUUUUCUAAACAAAAUAAAAACUAGAGAUAUUGCCACUAUUUUCUCCUGUGCUUCUAAUGAAGGCAUUUUACUACCUUAUGAAAAGAUUAGAAUUGCAUUUUGCUUCAGCCCAAAGUAAGCAAAAAUUGAUAUCAUUUUCACAUUUAGUGUUAAUGGAAAUUGUAUUAACCACACUUCUACUACAUUGAUUUUAAUAAUAUUAUAAUAAAAAUUGCCAGAGGCACAAAUUUUUUUUUGUUAUGGUUUUAAAUGUG
rnacentral:lncRNA from 1 species